GACGAACGCUGGCGGCGUGCUUAACACAUGCAAGUCGAACGGAAAGGCGCUGCUUUUGUGGGGUGCUCGUGAGGCGAACGGGUGAGUAACACGUGUGUAACCUGCCCUUGACUUUGGGAUAACUUCAGGAAACUGGGGCUAAUACCGGAUAGGAUCUCCUGCUGCAUGGUGGUGGUUGGAAAGUUUCGGCGGUUGGGGAUGGACUCGCGGCUUAUCCGCUUGUUGGUGGGGUAGUGGCUUACCAAGGCUUUGACGGGUAGCCGGCCUGAGAGGGUGACCGGCCACAUUGGGACUGAGAUACGGCCCAGACUCCUACGGGAGGCAGCAGUGGGGAAUAUUGCACAAUGGGCGGAAGCCUGAUGCAGCAACGCCGCGUGCGGGAUGACGGCCUUCGGGUUGUAAACCGCUUUCGCCUGUGACGAAGCGUGAGUGACGGUAAUGUGUAAAGAAGCACCGGCUAACUACGUG
rnacentral:rRNA from 1 species